rnacentral:lncRNA from 1 species
UUCCCUAACAAAUUUUGUAUUUUACAUCUUCUUCAAACGAAGUACUAAAAUAGUUGCAGAAAUGCAACAGAAACUGCAGCCAUGGAAGAAAGAUAUCAUGAGAUCACUAAGAUGAUGGGAGAUUGGGCCAUUCAAAUCAGCAUGGAUGAUCACAACACAACCGUUGAUCUUCAUGCAUAGAUCUGAAAACUCCAAGCACUGUCAUAAACCAGGUUUUGACUCCAAUUAGGUUGGAUCCUGAGUGAGUUUGGCUUGGAUUUGGG